CGGCGCCCGGGACAUCGCACCCUGCAGAUUCUGCACUGCCUCCGCGAGGGUGCGAACCUGCUGGGUUAGCUGGUCGAACUGGGCGGCUUCGACCAUCUGAAUGGGCGGUGGGGCGGUGGAGUGUUGCUGAGAGCGUGUUGGGGAUGCAGCGGCCUCCCGGCCAGUGGCGCGAGAGGCCCCGCGACCGGAAGCAUUGGAAGCUCCACGACCACCUCGCCGUGCCAUUACGAUCGCUCUGAGAUCCGGUGGCCCUCCCUCUAGCGCCAACUGUUGCUGGUGGUCCAAACCGAGAACGAUUGGCACAGCGGUGUGAACGGGGUUCCCUUGGAGUUGGGUUGAUUGCGCUCCACCUUCC
rnacentral:lncRNA from 1 species